GACGUAGGGCGCGAGCGUUGUCCGGAAUUAUUGGGCGUAAAGAGCUCGUAGGCGGUGUGUCGCGUCGGCCGUGAAAACCUGCAGCUUAACUGUGGGCUUGCGGUCGAUACGGGCAUCACUGGAGUUCGGCAGGGGAGACUGGAAUUCCUGGUGUAGCGGUGAAAUGCGCAGAUAUCAGGAGGAACACCGGUGGCGAAGGCGGGUCUCUGGGCCGUAACUGACGCUGAGGAGCGAAAGCGUGGGGAGCGAACAGG
rnacentral:rRNA from 1 species